UUUGUGAUUCCCUGAUGCUGUAAUUACUGCGGCUUCACUCUCCUUGCAGCCGCUGCCAUUAGCCGAGGAGACCGAAGGCUGUGGCAGUGUGGCCCUGGAUGCCCAGGGGGCCUCUGUGGGUUGCUGCAGGCAGGCAGAACCCUCCUGGAAGGUCCAGAGCUGCCCAGAGGCCCAGGACGGCUGGCUGAGCUGGCCAAAUGCUGGCAAUUAGUGGAGCGUGCUUGUGACCACUGCCAUUGUUAUGAUGGGUGAGGAGGAAUCACACUUUUUGGUCUGGACAAAGACAGACUUUAUAGAAGAGCACAGUCUAGGUCUCCAAGUGUGAGAAACCGGCCCAAAGGGGCAGCCGUGAAAAUAUCAACACCAAGCCUCAGCGACCUCAGGCCGGAGCCGACAGGACCCGGGCUUAAUGGAGACCAGUGGAAGUUGAACAAGGGCCACAGGGCCAGUUGGCUGCAGGUUUCCUGACAGAUGGGGACUGGACCACAGGACCGCUCCCAG